AGAGUUUGAUCAUGGCUCAGAUUGAACGCUGGCGGCAUGCUUUACACAUGCAAGUCGAACGGUAACAGGUCUUCGGAUGCUGACGAGUGGCGAACGGGUGAGUAAAACAUCGGAACGUGCCUGAUAGUGGGGGACAACUGCUCGAAAGAGCAGCUAAUACCGCAUGACAUCUAAGGAUAAAAGCAGGGGACCUUCGGGCCUUGUGCUACCAGAGCGGCCGAUGGCAGAUUAGGUAGUUGGUGAGGUAAAGGCUCACCAAGCCUGCGAUCUGUAGCUGGUCUGAGAGGACGACCAGCCACACUGGGACUGAGACACGGCCCAGACUCCUACGGGAGGCAGCAGUGGGGAAUUUUGGACAAUGGGCGCAAGCCUGAUCCAGCAAUGCCGCGUGCAGGACGAAGGCCUUCGGGUUGUAAACUGCUUUUGUACAGAACGAAAAGGACUGGGUUAAUACCCUGGUCAUAUGACGGUACUGUAAGAAUAAGCACCGGCUAACUACGUGCCAGCAGCCGCGGUAAUACGUAGGGUGCAAGCGUUAAUCGGAAUUACUGGGCGUAAAGCGUGCGCAGGCGGCUAUGCAAGACCGAUGUGAAAUCCCCGGGCUCAACCUGGGAACUGCAUUAGUGACUGCAUGGCUGGAGUGCGGCAGAGGGGGAUGGAAUUCCGCGUGUAGCAGUGAAAUGCGUAGAUAUGCGGAGGAACACCGAUGGCGAAGGCAAUCCCCUGGGCCUGCACUGACGCUCAUGCACGA
rnacentral:rRNA from 1 species